GACGAACGCUGGCGGCGUGCUUAACACAUGCAAGUCGAACGGAGAACCUCUUCGGAGGGGGUCAGUUGCAAACGGGUGAGUAACACUUGGGCAACCUUCCCCCGCCUCUGAGAUAACUCUAACAAAUGGGGACUGAUACCAGUAGUGCACCGCUUCCCGCACGGCAUGGGGGGGGAAGGGUUGGCGGUUGGGGAUGGGCUCGCGGCCUAUCAGCUUGUUGGUGGGGUAGUGGCCUACCAAGGCUACGACGGGUAGCCGGCCUGAGAGGGUGACCGGCCACACUGGGACUGAGAUACGGCCCAGACUCCUACGGGAGGCAGCAGUGGGGAAUAUUGCACAAUGGGCGGAAGCCUGAUGCAGCGACGCCGCGUGGGGGAUGACGGCCUUCGGGUUGUAAACCUCUUUCAGCAGGGACGAAGCGUAAGUGACGGUAACUGGAGAAGAAGCACCGGCUAACUACGUG
rnacentral:rRNA from 1 species